CAUUAUCACAGCAAACCAUCUUACUUGUUUGUUUUCCAUUGUUGAUAGACAUGAAGAACUUCUUCGCUGCACUCCAUUUCCACAGCAACAAUCAACAUCUUUGACAUGGCAGGAUCAAGUGGGAAUUCAACCAUUUGUCGUCCAAGUGGGGUUAGGUUACCUGUGUUAUCAAGUGCGCCAAGAAUCCAAAGUUGAUACAUUGAGUUGAGAAUAUUAUCCUGUAGAGAAAAUUACCAUGUCAGUGAGGUGGUUGAUAGAUUGGGUCAAGUCAUACUUGAGAGAAAUGAAGCAAAUUUUGACGAACCUGACUGAUGGGAUACACUUGGAGAGCAUCCAUUCCAAUUUUUGGAUUG